UACGAAGGGGGCUAGCGUUGUUCGGAAUCACUGGGCGUAAAGCGCACGUAGGCGGAUUGUUAAGUCGGGGGUGAAAUCCUGGAGCUCAACUCCAGAACUGCCUUCGAAACUGGCGAUCUUGAGUCCGGGAGAGGUGAGUGGAACUGCGAGUGUAGAGGUGAAAUUCGUAGAUAUUCGCAAGAACACCAGUGGCGAAGGCGGCUCACUGGCCCGGUACUGACGCUGAGGUGCGAAAGCGUGGGGAGCAAACAGG
rnacentral:rRNA from 1 species